GAUCUGACCGAAACAGGCGAUGAAGACCAGCAGUGCAGCCACUGGCGCCGGCAACCUCCACACACCCCUCCUCGAGCUCUUAAACUGUGACUUCCUUGGUCGGCUCCAAACCUGCAUCGAGCAGAUCAUCUCAGAAAAAUGCAAUACUGUACUCCAUUAACUCAAGCAAGGAGAGAAAAAGAAUAUGUUCCAUCAAUGUUAUUCUAAUUUGAUACUAAUAAGAAAUAAUGUCAGAAGUACACCGGUCCUUGAUUUUGUUUUCUUAGCUAGGGUCACUUGUAGGUUGUAGUAGAUGUAUUAACGAACAGAAAUAGAUCAAGUCUGCAUUUUUGUGCUGGCUGGAGACCUACUGCUUCUGUAUCUUGUUGUAUACAAUUCAAAUGAUGCAGAAAUUAUGAACUUGAGACUGAGACACCAUGUAGUAGAUUGGAUAUUGUUUGACAUCAAACACAUAUUGAGUAUUUACAACAAUCUCUUGUGAGAGGGCCACUAACAGCAAUGGGAGAGUAAUGCAACAUAAGUUCUAUGCAAGGAGAUUAACAUAAAUUAAUAGAGUUAUAAAAAUCAAGGCAACAAACCUCUUUAGAGAAGGCUAAUAUUUAUUUCUUAACUGAGGUGCUAAAACCACACAAAAACUUACAAAUACUAAUUUUUAAGAGUGACAAUAUGAGAUCGGUCUCCCUAGAAUUAGUACAUACUACACAAUGCGUUGACAGUAUAUGGCAAACAAAGACAUGUGCAUAAUCUAGAAGACAACCAUGCUAGCAUAUUCAUGAGGCAGCGAAGACAACAUAUGAAACCUGAACCUGCAUCAUUGUACUGUUUAGUCUUUCCUUUCCUUUUUAUACCAUGUCUUUUGUUCCACAUGUUCCUCUGAAUUUUCACUUGAACAACUUUCGGUUGAACUAAAAGACAAUACCACCAAUGUCAAUUACCAAGAUGACAAUAAGAAAAAAAUUGUUAGCAACCUGCGAGAGGUUAGCCAACAUAUUCCGUAGCUGAUGGUCCAUCUUCGCAUGUAAAAAUUCAGAAUAGAGGUGUGUCUUUGUCAGCGGCUCGUCUAACCUGCAGAAUCGUGCAUCAUUCUAUCAUUCCCUUGCUUAUAGAAGCACUACUCACUGGACCACUCAGCAAUCACACAAUUAAACUCCCCAUGUAAGAUUUUCACACAAUUUAAUUAGCAAGAUGAGUGUCCUCAACUGAAAGUGCAUAUAUUGGUUCAAAAGGAAAGUGUGAUAACUGAAUUAAUCAAGUAGAUAUUGAGGUUAAUGUACGUAUGUAUUCUUACCUGAGCCUCUUGUAGGAUUUGGGUAAGCUUCUUGGUGACCACUCGUUAAAGUCCUCCUGCAAUGAUGGCGGCUGGGUGGAGAGGAUCUGGAGGAUCUUGUCUGGCAUGGGGCAGCUGCUCUACUCCUCGAUGAGGCGCCGUAUGGCAGCAGUAAGCCACAUCAUCGCCACAGGGGAGCGCAGCAGGCGCGAUGCCUAUACCUCGCAGGGCAGCGCGCACGAGCAGGCGUAGGGUGGGGGUGUCCGUGCGCGCGAGACGCCUCGCCACCGCCGCCGUCCCCAUGCGUCUCCUGGACUUGGAACGGGAGGAGGGAUGCCGGCGAGGUCGAGGCUUGAGGGAGAGGAAGGCGUCGGAGGGAUAGAUACCUCUUCUCCCGGCGUGGAUUUCGGCCGCGGACUCAGCAAGGAAGGCGGCUGCGGCGACGCCGGCGGCAACCGCCCGUGCGUGGGGAACAGGAAGGGGAUCGUGGCGUGAUGUAUGUUUUGAGGGCUGCGGCUUG
rnacentral:lncRNA from 1 species